GUGACUAAUGGGUUUCAGGGCCUCUCAUUAGUUGCUUAUAUGAAUCCACGGGCUAUGUCUUUCUCCGUCCUACCUUGCAGCCCUUGUACUGUGGUUUGAGGACCUAUGAUGUCAGAAAGUACACAACACGGAGCCACUCUGCUGAGGACUCCUCAUAAAUGAGAUCUGAGAAGCACAAGAGUCACUCCGUGAGAGUCUCCUUCCCCCAGUUCCAGCACAGAGAGGUCUAAGCCAGAAUGAUCUCUGAUAGUGGAAAUAAGUUUGUGCAGGUGCCCAAGGAUGCCACUGGUCAUGAAAGUGGUUCUAGCAGCUUAAGCAAGUGGUGCUGGUGACUGUUGAUGGUGAAACCUGUCAUUGUAAAAGUAAAUACGUGUGCUUAAUACUGAGAAAUAUUUAAGAGGCCAGUUUUUCAGUUCUUUGGCUGUGCAGGUUGUUUUCUGCCAAGGGUCAAGAAAGAUGACAUUACAGUGGGACUCUCAUGUCCAGAGCAUGCAGCCAACUUGAGCUUACUGAGGACUAUAAAAAAGAAAGAAUUUAUCACCAGUCAAGAUUUUUUUUCCGACUUCUACACCUCUGAAGGCCUCUGAGGGGGGAGAUUACAGGUAGGAAAUUGAGGCACACAAGGUGACUCAUAGAAGUUACAGACACAUGGGCCAACGCCUCAGUUCUUUCUUUUCCUGCCAUUCAGCUCCUUUUGUCACAUUGGGGACAAAUAGCUUCACUUUUUUUGAAGCCCAAUUUUCUCAUCUGUCAAAAGAGACUAACGCUGGUGACAGUUUCACAGAGCUACAGGAUGGUUCCAUCUGGAUGCUGGGUAAUCCUCAGUAAACGGCAGCCUUACGAAGACUGGUCACACAUGCCUUCCAAUCCCGCUGAAGUCAUCUCCUUCAGCUGUGCUCUUAGCAGGACGUGUCCAACCGCAGGAUGUGCUACAGGAGACUGGCAGUGAAGAGGGCAGCCCCCUCCCAGGAGCUUACCUCCCGAGGAGGCCGCGGCAUAUCACGUAUCCUUCAGCAUUUCCGAUAAGCGGCCAAGAAGCGAAUCGUAUGCCUUUUUUCUCUUCUGGACCUUUGAAGUAUGAGCUAUAAAUGGGUAAAAACACAUCAACCACUCUCUCCAUGAAUAUUUAUUGAGAUAGCACUUUUAAUACAGAACCACUUGAAAAGUGAACCUCGGAGGAAAACUGCAUCUUUCGCAGCCAUUGAUCUUAAAAUAUUUCCUAUGAAUGCACUUGUGCUUGAAAUAUGACACCCUGCUUUUUCUUAUUUAUUCUGGGUGAAGUCACAGGGACUUGGCCUGGAUGGUUUUUACAAGCCGAACAGUAUUGGCAAAAUCAUCUUCUGGAUCAAAAUUCAACUUUUAUUUUGGUCUUUAGUUUGUUAGUUUCUGUCAGUUUUCCCCAAGAUAUCUCCGGGACUCACAACAGCAGGUAAAGGGGAGACUGAAUACACACUGCUAGCAGGAGAUCCCUGGGAGUGGAUGGUGAGAUCAUCUCCACCAGUGCUAAAAGGGUUUUGAAAGUUAUCUUGUCUACUACCCAUCCUCACAGGUGAGGACGCUUUUAAAGAUUCUCUCAAACAGGAUCCACUUCACCACCCUCCCGCUGCACAGGUUAAAGGAGUAAGAACCAUGAGGUCUGGGUGGGGCUCUGAAUAUCAAAGGAAUCCAUAUUGCCACUGAUGGCAGAAAUAUAAUUGUUACAGACAUUUCUGGUUACAGGUCACGUCUUGAUUAAUAUGAAAAUAGCAUACGACAUUUGAAUGUGCAGUUUACUUUGAAGACUCCAGCAUAUAACAGCCCUGUGGGGUGAGACUGGCUGAGGCCUUCAUUGUAAAGGGUCUCGCUUCAACAUCAAGAAGCAGCCUGGAUAUUCACCCGGAGGAGGCAGGGGUGAAGGGCUCCUGGUCAUGAGGGCGUCGGCCACGCCGCCUGAAGCUGCCCUCUUUGUUGUUCUCGACACAGAGAAGCCGCUCCUCG